rnacentral:rRNA from 1 species
UAGGGAAUCUUCCACAAUGGGCGCAAGCCUGAUGGAGCAACACCGCGUGGGUGAAGAAGGGUUUCGGCUCGUAAAGCUCUGUUGUUAAAGAAGAACACGUAUGAGAGUAACUGUUCAUACGUUGACGGUAUUUAACCAGAAAGUCACGGCUAACUACGUGCCA